AGCUGGGGCUGGGCCCCGGGCCCUGGGCGUCUGUCUGCAUCCGGAGAGCCUCUCUGGGUGUGCUGCGGAGCAGGUGGUGGGGGCCAGGUGUGAGGAGGGAGCCCCGCUCACACCCCACGUUCCAGGGCAGAACUCCAAGAAGUCUGAGAGUUCUGAAUUUGAUCCUGACCUCCCAGGGCAUUAGGCAGUCGUUUGUCAAGAACCUUGCUGCAUUGCUACGAAAACAAGCCUGGGCCUGCCUGCUGGAGGAUGAGAGAUGCUAUGGAGCAGAGAUGAGCCAUCCCAGCUGAGGCCACCCUGACCAACCAGUGCCCAGCCAAACCAGAAGCUGACCACAGACCCAAGACCAGAGGAGCCGCCUAGAUGAGCCCAGACCAAACUGCUGACCUGAAGAAAGACCUACGGGAACAAAUGAUCCACGGAAUAUGCUUUGAGAAGUGUAACGUGGUAGCAAAGUUCAGCUUUGAAGUCACAAGACCUGGCUUGCUCCGCCAUGUGGCCUUAGGCAAGUUGCUUAAGUCCAUUUUCGUUGCGUCCAUUUUCCCAUCUGCAAACAAAAGCUCAAUCAUAACAUCUCCCUUGUGCAGUUGUUGUCAGGGUUAACUAAUGCCUGUGAAGCCUUGAGUGCUGUGCCUGGCGCCCAGAAGCCACUCACUGAAGGACACCAGCCUGGUUUGAGAGAUCCUUAUGUCUGCUCUAAAAUUGUAUAACUUGGGCUUCCCUGGUGGCGCAGUGGUUGAGAGUCCGCCUGCCAAUGCAGGGGACGCGGGUUCAUGCCCCGGUCCGGGAAGAUCCCACAUGCCGCGGAGCGGCUGGGCCCGUGAGCCAUGGCCGCUGAGCCUGCGCGUCCGGAGCCUGUGCUCCACAACGGGAGAGGCCACAGCGGAGAG